rnacentral:rRNA from 1 species
AUUGAACGCUGGCGGUAUGCUUAACACAUGCAAGUCGAACGGUAGCAGGCCUUCGGGCGCUGACGAGUGGCGGACGGGUGAGUAACGCGUAGGAAUCUGCCUCAUAGUGGGGGACAACGUGGGGAAACUCACGCUAAUACCGCAUACGCCCUACGGGGGAAAGCGGGGGCUCUUCGGACCUCGCGCUAUGAGAUGAGCCUGCGUUAGAUUAGCUAGUUGGUAGGGUAAAAGCCUACCAAGGCGACGAUCUAUAGCUGGUCUGAGAGGACGAUCAGCCACACUGGGACUGAGACACGGCCCAGAAUACGACGGGAGGCAGCAGUGGGGAAUAUUGGACAAUGGGCGCAAGCCUGAUCCAGCAAUACCGCGUGUGUGAAGAAGGCCCUAGGGUUGUAAAGCACUUUCAAUUGGGAGGAAAACCUGCCGGUCAAUACCCGGCAGCUUGACAUUACCUUUAGAAGAAGCACCGGCUAACUCCGUGCCAGCAGCCGCAGUAAAAC